UACGAAGGGAGCUAGCGUUGUUCGGAAUCACUGGGCGUAAAGCGCACGUAGGCGGAUGUGUCAGUCAGGGGUGAAAUCCCGGAGCUCAACUUCGGAACUGCCUUUGAUACAGCACGUCUUGAGUCCGGAAGAGGUGGGUGGAAUUCCUGGUGUAGCGGUGAAAUGCGCAGAUAUCAGGAAGAACACCUAUGGCGAAGGCAGCUCUCUGGGACGGUACUGACGCUGAGACGCGAAAGCGUGGGGAGCGAACAGG
rnacentral:rRNA from 1 species